rnacentral:misc_RNA from 1 species
AAGUCGUAACAAGGUUUCCGUAGGUGAACCUGCGGAAGGAUCAUUAAAGAGUUUAAGGGUCUCUGGCCCGAACCUCCAACCCUCUGUCGUUAUAACUACUUCGCUUGCUUUGGCGGGACCGCGAAACGGUUCUCCCGAGCACGCCGGUCUUCGGACAGGCGAGCGCCCGGCCAGAGGUCCCAAUCAAACUCUUGUUUUAAACCAGGUCGUCUGAGUAUAAAAUUUUAUUAAAUUAAAAG